ensembl:lncRNA
ACAUAAUGAAACCAGACUGACAGGCCCAGUCCAGAACCACAACGAUAUGGCCAGGGAGACAUAAUGAAACCAGACUGACAGGCCCAGUCCAGAACCACAACGAUACGGCCGGUAACAUAAUGAAACCAGACUGACAGGCCCAGUCCAGAACCACAACGAUACGGCCGGUAACAUAAUGAAACCAGACUGACAGGCCCAGUCCAGAACCACAACGACGGUGUCAUAAUGAAAGCACCAACAUAUCCGUAUCAAACAGGAGAGAUUCCAGUGUAAAUAGAUGUAGUGUCUGUGACGAUAGUCCAGGGUUAUGGACCAGCAGCCCCAGCCAGGCUCAGCAACACUAAACCCUCAGAACAAACAGCAGACCACAGUCGUAACCUAACUGGAGAGAGCAAAGUGGCCACAUUCUUAUCAUGCUCUGGUCAAUUCAGCCCUUCUGCACAUUCCUGUGCUGCUAUGGGGAAAGGAGUGGCACGUGGCCAGGGUAUUAGUGGGAAGUGGGGACAGACGGGACAGGCAGGCCUGGGCAUUAGGGCUUUAGUGGGGACAGACAGGACAGCCAGGCCAGGGCAUUAGGGCUUUAGUGGGGACAGACAGGCCAGGCAGGCCAAGGUAUUAGUGGGAAGUGGGGACAGACAGGACAGGCAGGCUUGGGCAUUAGGGAUUUAAUGGGGACAGCCAGGCCAGGGCAUUAGGGCUUUAGUGGGGACAGACAUGCCAGGGCAUUAGGGCUUUAGUGGGGACAGACAUGCCAGGGCAUUAGUGGGGACAGACAGGAUAGGCAGGCCAGGGCAUUAGUGGAAAGUGGGGACAGUCAGGACAGCCAGGCCAUUAGGGCUUUAGUGGGGACAGACAGGACAGCCAGGCAUUAGGGCUUUAGUGGGGACAGACAGGCCAGGCAGGCCAGGGCAUUAGUGGAAAGUGGGGACAGUCAGGACAGCCAGGCCAUUCGGGCUUUAGUGGGGACAGACAGGAUAGGCAGGCCAGGGCAUUAGUGGAAAGUGGGGACAGACAGGACAGCCAGGCCAUUAGGGAUUUAGUGGGGACAGACAGGCCAGGGCAUUAGUGGAAAGUGGGGACAGUCGGGACAGCCAGGCCAUUAGGGAUUUAGUGGGGACAGACAGGCCAGGCAGGCCAGGGCAUUAGUGGAAAGUGGGGACAGUCAGGACAGCCAGGCCAUUAGGGAUUUAGUGGGGACAGCCAGGACAGGCAGGAAAACCUGUUUGGGAUAGGGGGCAGCAUUUUCACUUUCAGAUGAAAAGCCCAGAGUAAACUGCCUAAGGCUUCCACUAGAUGUCAACAGUCUUU